AUGAACGCUGGCGGCAGGCCUAACACAUGCAAGUCGAGCGGUAGCACAGAGAGCUUGCUCUCGGGUGACGAGCGGCGGACGGGUGAGUAAUGUCUGGGAAACUGCCUGAUGGAGGGGGAUAACUACUGGAAACGGUAGCUAAUACCGCAUAACGUCGCAAGACCAAAGUGGGGGACCUUCGGGCCUCAUGCCAUCAGAUGUGCCCAGAUGGGAUUAGCUAGUAGGUGGGGUAAUGGCUCACCUAGGCGACGAUCCCUAGCUGGUCUGAGAGGAUGACCAGCCACACUGGAACUGAGACACGGUCCAGACUCCUACGGGAGGCAGCAGUGGGGAAUAUUGCACAAUGGGCGCAAGCCUGAUGCAGCCAUGCCGCGUGUAUGAAGAAGGCCUUCGGGUUGUAAAGUACUUUCAGCGAGGAGGAAGGCAUUAAGGUUAAUAACCUUAGUGAUUGACGUUACUCGCAGAAGAAGCACCGGCUAACUCCGUGCCAGCCGCCGC
rnacentral:rRNA from 1 species